GUGGAAUCGUGGAGGCGGUAAAACUCCCUCCAAGCGAAAAUUCCUCUUACAAUACAAAGACACACAAAACAUCGAGUAACUUCAAACCCUUUCACCUCUCUCACGCCUCACAUCUUGGCCCAUGCCCAUCUUACAUCACAACAUCAGAUCUCCAUUUAUGAUUGCGGGUCUUCUCAAUAUGGAAUUCAGCAGCAUUGCAUCUCUAAUUAGGGUUUUUGUUUUCGGAGAUUUCACUUAUCGAUUUGGGGGUUUUGAAAUAUUUGCCGUCGUGGAGACUCCAAUCACCAUCAGCGAUGACUCUCCGAUCAAUAUCAAACUGUCGGCGCCGCCUCACCGCUCUCGAAUUUAGAUGGACGGCGACGAUCCCUCUGUUACGGUAGGUGAACCGAAAGUUCCGGAAGGAAGAUGGGUUUGCUGAUUGGUGGCUGUUUUCUCCAGGAGGAUUGCUGGUUACCUUGGAAGUGAGCAUGACGUUCUUUGCGGAUAACAACAUUUAGUUGCUCUUUGGCCAAACAUCGCAAUGGUGUUAUUCAGAUGAAAGGCUGAGAGAACCUAUUCCUAGCAAUGGCAGAAAAGAGCCUAUCAGCCCAGCACAGAAGACAGAAGACAAUGUAUGAUCCGAAUGAUGAAGUAGCAAUGAAUGACUUAGCACCCAACACUGACAUGUAUACUUUACAAUUGCUUUGAUGUUCCGGUUUGAAAUUAUGAUAGAGUUGCUUUGUAGUUUGAUGGCUUGUUUAGGAAGGGAUUUAAGAAUGUACAAGACUGAUACUGCAAAAUUUUUAUAAAAAUUGUUGCAUUUUACUUUUU